UGGUGUACCCAUUCUAACUGGGCUUUCUCAAUGCAAUAUCAACUCUUAUAGACGUUCUCCAUUUCCACCACCACACAUUAAUAACCAUUUUCUUAAUUAUAGAGGACUAAUACUAUUAAUGUUUUAUUAAUACUAACAACUAAAUUAACUUAUACACAUAUACAGAUGCUCAAGAAGUAGACAGUAUGAACUAUUCUACCCACUAUUAUUUUGAACCUAAUUGCCUAACUGUAAACACUAUAGGCCACCAAUGAUUAACAUGAAACCCCUUGAGAAAAAAAAAUGAACCUUGAUUAUUGUAUAAUUCAUACAACAGAUCUUAAACCAGGGGAGCUACGAUUACUUGAAGUUGAUAAUUGAGUAGUUUUACCCAUAGAAAUAUCAAUUUGCAUACUAAUCUCAUUUGAAAAUGUAUUACAUCCAUGAACUGUUCCAUCAUUAGGCUUAAAAACAGACAGAAUUACAGGGUGUUUAAAUCAAACAACCCCAACAUCCACAUGACUAGGCCUAUAUUAUGGUCAGUGCUCAGAAAUUUUUGGAUCAAAUCAGGGCUUCAUACCUAUUAUACCUGAAUUAGUUCCUCUAAAUCAUUUAAAAA
rnacentral:lncRNA from 1 species